UGAGAAUGAGCUUAUGAAACUAAAGGAGAAACUUGCAGAGGCCGAAGUGUCCAUGAGGAAGCUCUCCCAAGCAGUGAAUGGAGCUUCUGGCUACAACGGUGGCGGCGGCGAGGGUGAGGGCAGCCCUACCUCGUCCUUCUCAACAGUUACUUACCAUCCUCUAGUUGGAGAAUUUGGGGUGGAUGGAGAAGCUGACCUCAUGUACAUACCAGAGUAUAAUUUUAGUAACUACAUGAUGGAGUGGGGUAAUCUCUUUGGAAUGUAAGAAACCAUUAUCAGUACUGUCAUAAUUUCGUGAUUAAUCCGUGUAAAUUAUGUCAUUUUCGCUAUUUUAAGUAUUUUGACUGAUAGAAUCCUUCUCUAGUCAUUGAACUUGUAAGUACACUUGAAGUAGGUUCUAAUUUGUUGUAAUUGUUUGCUCUCAAUGUAAUUCUAGCUGCAGUAGCUUCCAAAGUUUUAUGAGAAAAAGAAGUAUAUAGUUGUAUAUCUCUUCUUUUUAUUUUUGUAAAUUCAAAGCUGGCAGCUUAUAAGAACAAAGCUCUGGGUAUCCUCCACUGACCAUGUUUUAAAUCCUUAAGAACAAGUAGGUUACUUUUCUGGUAAACGUUUUGCUUCUAAAUGAGAAAUAAAAAAAAGAAAGCACUGCGUUCUACAUUUUUUUAGUUAUUCUUUCUUUUUUUUAAAGUCAAGCUGGCAGCUCAUAUUAACAAAGUUCUUUUAAACCAUAUUCUCCUGGCAAUGCUCUAACUUUCAGUCCAAACUGCAGUAUUUACCAUGUUGCUAACAUGAGGCCUAUGCUGUUUGAUGUGGAUUUGAAGGUUCAAGCAAGUUAUCAAGGUGAGCAUGUUCCUCUGGUUUCUCUGAUGAGCAGAUUGAAUGGCAAAGCAAUUAUAGGACACCCUGUUCAAAUUGAAAUACUCAAAGAAGAACUGAUCCACUUGUUUCUAGAAAUCUUUUUGGUCUGGAUGAAAAUACAGCAUGCCCACCCUGUUAGCCUUGGAGGUUGCAAUUCUUCUGGUUCAUUUAUUCAUAGUGGUUUUUCACCUUCUGUUACAGCAUCCUCCUCUGCUGGAGUUCUUAGGCAGAUACCUUGCAGAGUUGAGCUUACUUGACUAUGGCUGUGUUCAGUUCUUGCCAUCAGUAGCUGCUGCUUCAGCUCUUUUUUGUUGCAAGAUUGACUGUUAAUCGAAAAUCCAACCCUUGGAACAAAAUACUUCAACACUGCAGUGAUUAUAGGCCGUCUGAGCUAAAGUAGUGCAUUCAUGCCAUACAUGAUUUGCAAUUGAACAAGAAAGGAUCCUCUUUGUUGGCUAUUAGAGAGAAGUACAAGCAGCAUAGGUUAAAGUGUGUAUCUGCAUUGCUUCCUCCCUCAGAGAUUCCUGCGUCAUAUUUUGAAGACCUCAAAGAAUAAUUUUCACAAGGAGAAUUGUGAUGUGGGACCGAAAGAAUUGAUGCUCCGUGAUUAGAUAACCUGAAGCUGGAAAAUGGAUGAUUCAAGCGAGAUACCUGAAGCUCCUGCAAUGUCUUUGAAAUUUUCCAUCUUACCUUCAUACCUUGCUCCGAGGAUGCAGACGAGAAACACAGAGGAGAUCUUUUGCUCCAGAAGCCAUCAAAACUUGCUGGGCAUUGUUCCUUCUAACUUAAAAGAAGUAAUCAAACUUUGGCAUUGACAUCACUAGAUUUUAUGUAUCAUAAACCUCGCAACAAGAAGUCUUUUAAGGCAUCAUUUUUGUAUGAUUUAGAAUCUUUCACUCAAUCUCCAAGAUGGAAUUGUACCCAAUCAAGAUCCUCCUUUUUUAUGUUUAAGCAUAAUAAUAUGUUAAUCCUUGUUCAUUGUCUAUUUAGAUGUUUUAUAAUUGUCGUCUGAAAUUGAGUUGCUGUGUGAUAGUUGAGCCUCUUAAGAAGACAUCUGUGUCUUUUUCAAGGGACACAGCCUUGGAUGGUGAAGAUGCUGGUGGUCUUCAAUAUAGAGACAGAGAAAGCAAACCUCAAGUUCACAACUACCAGAAGUUCGCAACCCAUAGGUUUGACUAUGCCGACGCUUUUAAGCGUCGGCAUAGUCCAAAACAAAAUACGGCAUGAAGCGUGGGUUGAAGUACGCCGACGCUUUUAAGCGUCGGGUUUGUAUAAAAUGAACGACGCUUAAAAGCGUCGGCAUAGUCAAACACAAAAUACGGUGGGAAGCGUCGGUUGAAGUACGCCGACGCUUUUAAGCGUCGGGUUUGUAUAAC